rnacentral:hammerhead_ribozyme from 1 species
ACGUCACUGAUGAGUCUAGUGUAGACGAAACGCGCGUCUGGCGU